CUUUCUCCGCCGGCGACCGGCGCACGGGUGAGUAACACGUAUCCAACCUGCCUCAUACUCGGGGAUAGCCUUUCGAAAGAAAGAUUAAUACCCGAUGUUAUAGUCCUACCGCAUGAUGGGAUUAUUAAAGAAUUUCGGUAUGGGAUGGGGAUGCGUUCCAUUAGUUAGUUGGCGGGGUAACGGCCCACCAAGACAACGAUGGAUAGGGGUUCUGAGAGGAAGGUCCCCCACAUUGGAACUGAGACACGGUCCAAACUCCUACGGAAGGCAGCAG
rnacentral:rRNA from 1 species